rnacentral:ncRNA from 1 species
AUUGUGGAGCGUUAUAUAAACUUAAGUAGCCAAAUGGUGAACAAGAACGCUGUGAAACAAUAA